UACAGAGGGGGCAAGCGUUGUUCGGAAUUACUGGGCGUAAAGGGCGCGUAGGCGGCCUGCUAAGUCGAACGUGAAAUCCCUGGGCUCAACCCAGGAACUGCGUCCGAUACUGGUUGGCUUGAAUCCGGGAGAGGGACGUGGAAUUCCAGGUGUAGCGGUGAAAUGCGUAGAUAUCUGGAGGAACACCGGUGGCGAAGGCGGGUUGCUGGGCUGACACUGACGCUGAAGUGCGAAAGCUAGGGGAGCGAACGGG
rnacentral:rRNA from 1 species